rnacentral:lncRNA from 1 species
CCCUUUUAGGGCUCCACCCAUCCCCUUGGACCUAAGCUCUACUUUCUUCCCACUUUGUCCUACCACGUUUCAAAUCCCAACGGCUCCGGACGCCUGAAUGGAGCCUCGCUCCCUCUGUCCCGCCCUUCCCAGAUCUAAGCCCACCCACUGGCGCUAUGGCGGCCUUCCCGCGGAUCGCGGCGCACUGCAGGUAUGAGUCCAUCGCCUGCGGGACUUCGCCUUGCAGACGGCCCCUACCUCGCCCCAGGAUCCCUGUCAGGCGCCACAUGUCGUGGCCAGCACCAUAGAGCCUGCAGCCGAGGGAUCGAGGCCCAAAGGACGGGACAGGGACCAGAGUGGCCGCUGCGCUGUCCCCAGCGGCCGAGUCCCCAGCCAGCCAAUCAGCAAGGAGCCCUGCCGGAAGGAUGACGCUCUAGGAAGGAAGUGGCCAUCGGAUAGGGCGGGCUUGGCGCUGGCGAGGUGAGAGCUCCAAACUUGAAGCGGCGCCACGGCCAAGGUGUCCUCUGUCGCCAUUGCAGGAGCUGCGAGGGUGCGCGAAUCCGAAUGGUGGCUGAUUGGUGAACCUAGAGCACCCUUUGCCCCAGGUUCUAGCUCUGGCCCGGUUUUUUCUCUUUACAUUUAAGCUGUAGGCAGAGGAAAUCCUCGUUAGAGGCCUUCUCCCCACCCCGCUUCUCAGCCACAAACUGUUGUUUCAUUAGGAAUCUCACCAGAAACCCGUUUUCAGGUGAAGGCCGAGUACUCAGCCCCUUGUGGUGCCUGGUUUUACUUGAUCACAUUGUAAUUCCAUCCUAGGAACCACUCUAUAAGUUCACUUAACAGAGAGAAGUGGAGUGGUUCUUAGCAACCUUUUGCGAUGUAACUUAACCACCAAAGAGAUAUCUGGCUAAUAUGGCAGCUCUCGAGAAGUCCGUAUUUACACGUUGGUAUGUAUUGCUUUUGUUUCCUGUGCAUCUUCUACACCUCCUGUGUAUGCCUAUGUUUAAGUUAUCUUCAUUAAAACCUCCAGCUCUUCUUCACAGUGGCUAGUCCUGAAAUUCUUUUUAAUCCUCUAAACCAGGAAUCCUGGUUUGGCCUGAGUCAAAGUCCCUAAAAUUCGAACUCUGGCUGUUGAUAGUAACAGAGUAGCAGGUUACAGCUUAACGCUAUUUCCCUGGUCCUUACAGCUGACUCUGUUGCCUGGGUCUCUGUGCAAGGAUAGGGUCAGCUGGAGUACUCUUGACUCUUGUUCCUAACCCCACGGGCUGAAGCCUUUGAGAGGCUGCUCCUCUCAAAAUACCUUUCAAGGAUUCACAGGCCCUGGUCAGUCUGAGCUGCGAGUUCAGUUUCAGUCAAUGGUGGUUUUUGUAAACUGGUCCCACUUUCAGCACUCUGGAGUCCUAUGGAAAAACAAAACAAAACAAAACCGUAAGGUGUUCAGACUUCCUCUCUCCUUCCCCCGGAGUAUGUGACUUUUAGGUGGGUGGAAGUGUUGGGUAAAGGAGUACUGGAUGUACCUAGUCUGAGACCCAGGCAUGUGGUGUGAAAGUUGUGUUUAUCUGUAAAACGCUCUCAAGCCAUAUGUCAGCCACCGUUCUAGGCUAAGAGAAGACAGAUUGAUAAAGAGCAUUUGUGGUCUUUGAAAAUGGCUCCGUUACGUUAAGAUUAGACUAAAGUAGGGUGUGGUGACAUACGGCUUUAGAUGUGGAGGCAGGAGCAUUAGUUCAAGGUUGUCCUCAGCUAUAUAGACCUAGGCCAGCCUGGGCUACAUGAGAUCCUGUCUCAAGGAGUGGAAUCUUAUAAUUCCAGUUCCAAGAGUGGGGAGGCUGAGAUAGGAGGAGCUCAGAUUCAAGGCAUAACGAGACCAGGCAAUUCUGAGAUUCUGUCUCAGAAAACAAAGAACUGUGUUGUAGGGCUGAAGUUAUAGCUCAGUGUCAGAGGCCAGGCCAGUCCUUCACAGGGCCAAGGUCAGUCUGUAGCACUGAAGAAAAGCAAAAGGGCUCUAGUCCCACAAAUACCAGCUUUCUGAUUUCCUAGCUUUGUUACUGUUGCAGGGUUCUUAAGGACACACACUAAGCCCGUUAUCUGAAAUGUAGGGAAAAACAAUACCUUCUGCAGCCUCCAGAGUGAAAACAACAUAAAUGUCUACAUAAGUCCUGGGACAUAGAAAGUGCUCAAGAAAUAUAAAUUAGUAUUAAUUAUAGAAGUGGAAGGUGUGGGCAGGGAACUGUAAAUAGUAUUUCAGUAGAAGCCUGAAAGGUGGAGGUGGGGAGAAUGUAUCGUGGAAGGAUUCAGACGUGUGGUUUGCCUUUGAGUUGGGCCUUUAAACACAAAUUUAUUGGGAGACGGGGAAAGGCAUUUUGAGCAGAGGAAACCCAAUGAAGUCCAGGAACGUGAUGUGGGGAACUAUUCGUAAAUGUUCUUUCUUGGGGAAUUGGGACACCUUUCGUAGGCCAUGUGCUGCCUGAAAUAAACCCACAAGUGUGCUGGCUUGGCUCUGUU